UUGGGGUAGCCCCCAAAAUAUUGGGACAUAUAAAAAAAGACAACUCUGUUCCGUAGAGUAGCUGUUGACAUUAUAGUUGCGCAGGAACUUUGUUGACUCUAGAGAACAUCUGGCAAAUCGCACAUCCCCGUGGUGGCGACUUUGCAUGCGGUUGUCAUCCAUAUCAACUUUCAAUGCCAGUUUCUGCGUCUACCAUGGUGACCACGGGUAACAGGGAAUCAGGGUUCCAUUCCAUAUAAGGACCUUGAAAAAAACGGCUACCACAUGCAAGGAUGGCAGCAGGCGCGCAAAUGACCCACUCCCGACGCGGGAAGGUAGUGACGA